rnacentral:antisense_RNA from 1 species
AGUGUUUCUGUGGCCAUCUUGAGCAGGUCGCAAGCUAAAUCCUGCCAUCUUAGGAGGUACAGACCAUAGGGGUCGUGGCUUCCUCUUAACCGCGGUAGUUGCUGAUAAAUACUGUACUAUUAACAGUGAGGCCCGGCGUAAUUUCCUUAUUAGAGGGCUUCUUUACGUCUCUUCAUCCCAAACUGGGAAAUGAUGCUGUUGACUGGGGCAAAGAAUAAUGGGAGAAAAACAGCUGAGUCCUAAAUAACAGAGGGAAACCAACUUUCAAUAAAGUAUUCAACAACUAA